rnacentral:rRNA from 1 species
GCGCACUGCUCAGUAACACGUGGACAACCUGCCCUGAGGACUGGAAUAAUCCCGGGAAACUGGGGGUAAUUCCAGAUAUGUCAGAACUCCUGGAAUGGGUUCUGGCAGAAAGGCUCCGGCGCCUCAGGAUGGGUCCGCGGCCUAUCAGGGUAGUAGUGGGUGUAACGUACCUACUAGCCUACGACGGGUACGGGUUGUGAGAGCAAGAGCCCGGAGAUGGAUUCUGAGACAUGAAUCCAGGCCCUACGGGGUGCAGCAGGCGCGAAAGCUUUACAAUGCGGGCAACCGCGAUAAGGGGACCUCGAGUGCUGGGUUACAAACCUGGCUGUUGGGCUGCCUAAAAAGCAGUCUAUAGCAAGGGCCGGGCAAGACCGGUGCCAGCCGCCGCGGUAACACCGGCGGCUCGAGUGGUAACCGCUAUUAUUGGGUCUAAAGGGUCUGUAGCCGGCCGACUAAGCCUCUUGGGAAAUCUGGCAUCUCAAGUGUCAGGCUGCCAGGGGAUACUGGUCGGCUUGGGACCGGGAGAGGUGAGAGGUACCUCGGGGGUAGGGGUGAAAUCUUGUAAUCCUCGAGGGACCACCAGUGGCGAAGGCGUCUCAC